rnacentral:rRNA from 1 species
UUGAAUACGUUCCCGGGUCUUGUACACACCGCCCGUCAAAGCACGAAAGUUGGUAAUACCCAACACUUCGAUUUAUUCGAGGCUAAGGUAGGAUCAGCGAUUGGGCUU